AUUGAACGCUGGCGGCAGGCCUAACACAUGCGAGUCGAGCGGAUGAAGGGAGCUUGCUCCUGGAUUCAGCGGCGGACGGGUGAGUAAUGCCUAGGAAUCUGCCUGGUAGUGGGGGAUAACGUCCGGAAACGGGCGCUAAUACCGCAUACGUCCUGAGGGAGAAAGUGGGGGAUCUUCGGACCUCACGCUAUCAGAUGAGCCUAGGUCGGAUUAGCUAGUUGGUGGGGUAAAGGCCUACCAAGGCGACGAUCCGUAACUGGUCUGAGAGGAUGAUCAGUCACACUGGAACUGAGACACGGUCCAGACUCCUACGGGAGGCAGCAGUGGGGAAUAUUGGACAAUGGGCGAAAGCCUGAUCCAGCCAUGCCGCGUGUGUGAAGAAGGUCUUCGGAUUGUAAAGCACUUUAAGUUGGGAGGAAGGGCAGUAAGUUAAUACCUUGCUGUUUUGACGUUACCAACAGAAUAAGCACCGGCUAACCUCGUG
rnacentral:rRNA from 1 species